UACCAGCACCCCGAGUGGUCGGGGCGUUUAUUGGGCCUAAAGCAUCCGUAGCCGGUUCUACAAGUCUUCCGUUAAAUCCAGCUGCUUAACAGAUGGGCUGCGGAAGAUACUAUGGAGCUAGGAGGCGGGAGAGGCAAGCGGUACUCGAUGGGUAGGGGUAAAAUCCGUUGAUCCAUUGAAGACCACCAGUGGCGAAGGCGGCUUGCCAGAACGCGCUCGACGGUGAGGGACGAAAGCUGGGGGAGCAAACAGG
rnacentral:rRNA from 1 species